rnacentral:rRNA from 1 species
AUUGAACGCUGGCGGCAGGCCUAACACAUGCAAGUCGAGCGGAUGAAGGGAGCUUGCUCCUGGAUUCAGCGGCGGACGGGUGAGUAAUGCCUAGGAAUCUGCCUGGUAGUGGGGGAUAACGUCCGGAAACGGGCGCUAAUACCGCAUACGUCCUGAGGGAGAAAGUGGGGGAUCUUCGGACAUCACGCUAUCAGAUGAGCCUAGGUCGGAUUAGCUAGUUGGUGGGGUAAAGGCCUACCAAGGCGACGAUCCGUAACUGGUCUGAGAGGAUGAUCAGUCACACUGGAACUGGGACACGGUCCAGACUCCUACGGGAGGCAGCAGUGGGGAAUAUUGGACAAUGGGCGAAAGCCUGAUCCAGCCAUGCCGCGUGUGUGAAGAAGGUCUUCGGAUUGUAAAGCACUUUAAGUUGGGAGGAAGGGCAGUAAGUUAAUACCUUGCUGUUUUGACGUUACCAACAGAAUAAGCACCGGCUAACUUCGUG